GGCCACCACACCAUCUCACUCUACUAGAAAGAAUGGAGGCAGUGUUGGACAGCUGUGUGUGUGUCUGGCAGUUCACGCACAGGAAGAAUCAAUUUGAUGCUAAUCAUGUCUACGGAUCAAAACAUUCAAGUAGCAGUGAUGAAUCAAAG